AGAUUGAACGCUGGCGGCAGGCCUAACACAUGCAAGUCGAGCGGCAGCACGGGUACUUGUACCUGGUGGCGAGCGGCGGACGGGUGAGUAAUGCCUAGGAAUCUGCCUGAUAGUGGGGGAUAACGUUCGGAAACGGACGCUAAUACCGCAUACGUCCUACGGGAGAAAGUGGGGGAUCUUCGGACCUCACGCUAUCAGAUGAGCCUAGGUCGGAUUAGCUAGUUGGUAGGUAAAGGCCUACCAAGGCUACGAUCCGUAACUGGUCUGAGAGGAUGAUCAGUCACACUGGAACUGAGACACGGUCCAGACUCCUACGGGAGCAGCAGUGGGGAAUAUUGGACAAUGGGACAAAGCCUGAUCCAGCCAUGCCGCGUGUGUGAAGAAGGUCUUCGGAUUGUAAAGACUACUUAAGUUGGUAGAAGGCAAUUAACUAAUACGUUAGUGUUUUGAACGUUUACCGACUAA
rnacentral:rRNA from 1 species